UAGGGAAUCUUCCACAAUGGACGCAAGUCUGAUGGAGCAACGCCGCGUGAGUGAAGAAGGUUUUUCGGACCGAAAGCUCUGUUGUUGGUGAAGAAGGAUAGAGGUAGUAACUGGCCUUUAUUUGACGGUAAUCAACCAGAAAGUCACGGCUAACUACGUGCCAGCAGCCGCGGUAAUACGUAGGUGGCAAGCGUUGUCCGGAUUUAUUGGGCGUAAAGCGAGCGCAGGCGGAAGAAUAAGUCUGAUGUGAAAGCCCUCGGCUUAACCGAGGAAUUGCAUCGGAAACUGUUUU
rnacentral:rRNA from 1 species